rnacentral:sRNA from 1 species
GAACCUGCCAUAGGUUCGGGUCGAACGCAGUGAGACAACGGAGCCGUUUACGGCGACGGCCCGAAGGGCGAGCGAAGCGAGUCAUCCUGCACGACCCACCA